rnacentral:lncRNA from 1 species
GGAGUGUUGUGAGGAUUGAAUAUAGUUGUAGGACAGAGGAGAGGUGAAGUACAUGCAGUGCAGGUUUCUCUUCACAGCAACCUGCCCCAGUUGUGAUGUCACAAUGUGAUGGGUUUCUGCUUCCAAGGCAGUAUCUCAGCCCAAUAUCAUGGGCUCUAGCCAUUAUAGAGGCAGAAUUGUGGACCAGAUGGAAGUUUACCCUGACUUGGUAGGGCCACCUCUGUGUUACUGCAGUGAAACGCAAAUAUCAGACUUCCAGAAUAUGGAGGUUUUUCUUCAUAAGGACAGACCAACAAAAUCAAAAUGUGAUUGAACUGAAACAUCAUGCAUAAUGUUAGUAUUAUGUAAAACAACUUUUUGAAACCAUAGCCAAGAAAAUGAAUGAAAAUAAAGUAUAUCCUGUAUUUUUGGCUUCCCUAGGG